rnacentral:rRNA from 1 species
UAGCUAUGUGUGGCAGGGAUAAACGCUGAAAGCAUCUAAGCGUGAAGCCCCCCUCAAGAUGAGAUUUCCCAUUUCUUCGGAAAGUAAGAUCCCUGAAAGAAGAUCAGGUAGAUAGGUUUGGAGUGGAAGUAUGGCGACAUAUGGAGCGGACAAAUACUAAUCGAUCGAGGACUUAACCAAU